CUGCUUCUGCAAAAAUCUUCGCUCUGUGUCCUGUGCCUCCUCUUCCUUUCUUCCCUGCUUUCUCUCUCCCCAAAUCUCACGGGCCAUUGGGUCUUUCCCUCUCUGCUUCACACAACUUGAGCUUCGUUUGGUACGGGUCGACAUCGGGAGCUUCGAUUUACUACGGGCUGGAGAGUUUGUUUUGUUGUGGAUGUUUGGCGUGGUUCAUGGAUUUGGUGCGAUCAGGCAACUGAGCUCUGCAGCAUGAUGAAAAUAACACUGAUAAGGGUACCUUAGGUUAUAUGUCUUGCAUUGUCGUACGUUUGAGCUCCUUGCUCAUUUUUCUGUGUACAUUCUACUUGCGCCAAGCGCCAAGGUCAGACGGCUCAGCUGUUUUUCUUCGAGCAACUUGACUUCAAUUUCGCCUCAACUCUUUGAUCUGUGUGUGCUGUGGGUAAUAGCUCGCCUGCUUCUUCUGGCUAGGCUUAGGUAAACUCCUCCGGGUUGUGUCUUCGCUCAGUAAGAAGGCCUUCAUUGAUGCUGUGUGACCACCUCUGAUUGAAAGGCUUCCGCUGCUCAAGGUCGUAAUGGAGGAUAUCACUACUAUGGAUGUUGUUAGGUUUGUUGAGUCUUGCAAAAAAGGACUGGCUAUUGUUUCUACUAUGAAUCGUGGAAGUAAAAGAUUUUUCCUUGGAACUGAUAGUGCUCCUCAAAAGAGACAAAGAAAAGAAUGUCCUUGUGGAUGUGCAGGCUGGUGCGCUUGACAAGCAAAAGGAAUUUACCAGCUUUAGCAACCAGUCUUUUAUGCCCUACCAAGAAAUACAUCAAAGAGAGUGAGAUUCUAGCAAUAAGCACAUUGAUUCAAGUUUUUUGCUCUCUGUACUCUACUGCAGAUUGGCUUUUUAGAGGGUUAGUGGCAACUAAUUGGAGACCGAAAUCGAGUGAAAACUCCGCCUUGCCUCUUUGGAUUUCUAGGUUGUGGUGGACAUAUAAAUAAUCAGAAGUGGUUGCAAGAAUGGCUACAGAGAACCAAAAUAUUCCAGAGGGAACUGUACAGAACAUGCUGGAGCAAGAAAGCCUCAAGUGGGUCUUCGUUGGAGGCAAAGGCGGUGUUGGCAAAACGACUUGUAGCUUGAUUCUCUCAAUUCCGCUCGCCAGUGUUCGACCCUCUGUGUUGAUCAUAUCAACCGAUCCGCCUCACAAUUUUAGCGAUGCAUUUAACCAGCAAUUCACCAAGUCCCCAACUUUUGUCAAUCGCUUCAUCAAUCUAUAUGCAAUCUACGCCCUGUGCCUCUUCUGUGAAUGCUAUGUAAAUUGCAGAAUUUUCAUUCAGCGACUGUGGAUUUGGAGUCAAUUCAUCAAGAAUGACAUCUUAGUUGAUGUUUAUGUCCAUUUGUCGAAUGGUUCGAAUAAGUUUACAUAUUAUUAGGCAAGGUAUUAUUGUCGAUGAAGUAUAGGCAGCAGAGCUGGAGUGAUUUUGGUUGGGCUUUGUAAUUUGAUUGUUCCAUGCCAUGACAAUAAAUAAUGCAGCAUUUAAACUUUUAGAGCUCACUAUUUUUUGUGUACAUUCUAUCGAGUUCUUAAACAGUUGUUUUUUGGUUUUUUUUUUGUGCAUUGUUUCUCUAUACAUGUCCCUAUAUAUAUGUAGCUCUAACCGUGGCACCUUCCCUCACAUAUAUAGGUAUUAAAAAAUUAAUUAAUAACAAAUUAUAUGGAUGAUGAACAUAUAAAUGGGCACAGUGUGAAAGGUGAGAGCUUGCUUACAUUUUCACUCUUAUUGACAUGGUCUCUUUACAUGAAAGUCUAUUGAUGUCUAUAAGUUUGUGAGUCAUUGCUACUUUUUAAUAUCGACAGAUAUUGGAUGACACAUUUGUUACAUUGUUUCUUUUAAUUCUUCAUAAAAUAUGAUGUGUUUAAUGUGCAGAUUUGGCAAAAGCAAGAAUAACAUGGGGACCAAUAUUGUUUGCCUCAGAUAAGUUUAAUUUGUUUACAUUUUAAAUUUGCCUAAAUGUCAUUCUUUUGCAUGGGCCAAAAGAAUAAAUCAAUAGUUGAUUGGUUACUUCUACAUUUUUUAGUCACUUCCAACAACUUUCUUGGUGCAGGUGAAUGGUGAUGGCCACCAUGAAAAAAAUAUUCGUUGUCAAUUAAUAGUGAUGGCCAUCAUAUUCGCUGCCUUUGAAUUUGCCUUGCUUAUUUAUGUUUAUUGCAGAUGUGUCUAGCUUCUUAUAUGGAACUAAUCUGAAUUGAUCUAUUUAAUAGUAUUGCCAUAGAAAUAAUGUUUAUGUAACUUUUGCUUAUUCAAUUUGAUUUGAUCACCCA